GAUGAAGAACGCAGCGAAAUGCGAUAAGUAAUGUGAAUUGCAGAAUUCAGUGAAUCAUCGAAUCUUUGAACGCACAUUGCGCCCGUCAGUAUUCUGGCGGGCAUGCCUGUUCGAGCGUCAUUACGCCCCUCAAGUCCCCUGUGGACUUGGUGUUGGGGAUCGGCGAGGCUGGUUUUCCAGCACAGCCGUCCCUUAAAUUAAUUGGCGGUCUCGCCGUGGCCCUCCUCUGCGCAGUAGUAAAACACUCGCAACAGGAGCCCGGCGCGGUCCACUGCCGUAAAACCCCCCAACUUUUUAUAGUUGACCUCGAAUCAGGUAGGACUACCCGCUGAACUUAAGCAUAUCAAUAAGCGAAGGA
rnacentral:misc_RNA from 1 species